AGAGUUUGAUCAUGGCUCAGGAUGAACGCUGGCGGCGUGCCUAAUACAUGCAAGUCGAGCGAACAGAUAAGGAGCUUGCUCCUUUGAAGUUAGCGGCGGACGGGUGAGUAACACGUGGGUAACCUACCUAUAAGACUGGGAUAACUUCGGGAAACCGGAGCUAAUACUGGAUAACAUUUAGAACCGCAUGGUUCUAAAGUGAAAGAUGGUUUUGCUAUCACUUAUAGAUGGACCCGCGCCGUAUUAGCUAGUUGGUAAGGUAACGGCUUACCAAGGCGACGAUACGUAGCCGACCUGAGAGGGUGAUCGGCCACACUGGAACUGAGACACGGUCCAGACUCCUACGGGAGGCAGCAGUAGGGAAUCUUCCGCAAUGGGCGAAAGCCUGACGGAGCAACGCCGCGUGAGUGAUGAAGGGUUUCGGCUCGUAAAACUCUGUUAUUAGGGAAGAACAAAUGUGUAAGUAACUGUGCACAUCUUGACGGUACCUAAUCAGAAAGCCACGGCUAACUACGUGCUAGCCGCCGCGGUAAUAC
rnacentral:rRNA from 1 species